rnacentral:siRNA from 1 species
GAUGGUGGAAGAUGUGGUGGUU